CCGACUUCAGCCACAGUGCUGGCUAAGUCGG
rfam:Cuculus canorus isolate BGI_N303 unplaced genomic scaffold scaffold137, whole genome shotgun sequence.